rnacentral:rRNA from 1 species
GAUGAACGCUAGCGGCGUGCCUAAUACAUGCAAGUCGAACGGGCUCUUCGGAGCUAGUGGCGAACGGGUGAGUAACACGUUGGUACCUACCCCGAAGUGGGGAACAACUGCCCGAAAGGGUAGCUAAUACCGCAUAAUACCGAAAGGUUAAAGCAGUAAUGCGCUUCGGGAGGGGCCUGCGUCCCAUUAGCUAGUUGGCGGGGUAAAUGCCCACCAAGGCGACGAUGGGUAGCUGGAUCGAGAGGUUGACCAGCCACACUGGGACUGAGAUACGGCCCAGACUCCUACGGGAGGCAGCAGUAAGGAAUCUUCCACAAUGGACGAAAGUCUGAUGGAGCAACGCCGCGUGCAGGAUUAAGGCCUUCGGGUUGUAAACUGCUUUUAUAUGGGAAGAUUAUGACGGUACCAUAUGAAUAAGGACCGGCUAACUACGUGCCAGCCGCCGCAGUAAGAC